UACGGAGGGGGCUAGCGUUGUUCGGAAUUACUGGGCGUAAAGCGCACGUAGGCGGCUUUGUAAGUUAGAGGUGAAAGCCUGGGAGCUCAACUCCAGAACUGCCUUUGAUACUGCAUGGCUUGAAUCCAGGAGAGGUGAGUUGGAAUUCCGAGUGUAGAGGUGAAAAUUCGUAGAUAUUCGGAAGAACACCAGUGGCGAAGGCGGCUCACUGAGCUGGUAUUGACGCUGAGGUGCGAAAGCGUGGGGAGCAAACAGG
rnacentral:rRNA from 1 species